GCGGCAGUGGUGGAAGUGGUAGACACGCUAGCUUGAGGUGCUAGUGGCUGAAAAGCCAUGGAGGUUCAAGUCCUCUCUGCCGCA
rnacentral:tRNA from 1 species